rnacentral:lncRNA from 1 species
CCGGAAGGAAGGCCAUGAUUUCAGCUCUCUGGGAUUUGAGACAAAGAGGCCCCUUUUCUUUCAUUUUAUCUUUUCAUGUCUCUUCUUGCCAUGUACCCACAUGAUUGAGUGUGGGCUGAGGGUGAAUCCAAGAAGGGCUUUGUUUUGUGGUCAGUACAGGCUUUGGUCCACAGAGACAACAAUACUUUCAAUACUCUUUUGUUCUGCCCCAGAGGAGCUCAACACAGAAUUGCCUAGAACAAGAAACUGGUGAGAGAAGCUGCAGCCUGUUGAGACUCCACAAGACUGAAGAUAUGAAAAGAGGAAAUAUGCAUGAAUGCCCGCACGGAGAACCACCCCCACCUGCUGCUCCCGCUCUAAUGAUCACGCCCAUUAUCAACUGGGGGAUGGCUCUGUGCCUUGUCCUUGCAUUACAUGGACCAAGAACACUUCACAGGACUCAGAGAGGAACCCGAAAGGAAGAAGCUAUACGACUGGGGACACAUGUCUUAGAAGCACACUCAUUAGAUAAAGUGUCGCAUACUCUUUGAUAAGAAACUCCAGGCUGUCACCCAUCUGUUCUCUCAUCAAAGUAGUUUUGGGCCAGCAACUAUUUCAGACAUUUCUACAGUUUCAGAUGUCUCACUCUGCCUAUGACUGUAUGUUGUACUUGAGGACUGGACGCACAGGGUAAAGUGCAAAUAGCAAGCAUUCAGGUCCAACUCUCCUCCUUCUGGUUAACAAUAUGAAAGAAAGAGGUAGUAUCGGAAUUAUUUUAGUUCAAUGUAGCCAU